rnacentral:rRNA from 1 species
GUGCACCAGUCGAGAAAACUUCACACUACGCGAAAGCGCGAUGAGGGAAUCCCAAGUGCUUGCACGUAAGUGUAAGCUGUUUCCCUGUCUAAAAAGCAGAGAGAGUAAGGGCUGGGUAAGACGGGUGCCAGCCGCCGCGGUAAUACCUGCAGCUCAAGUGGUGGCCGCUAUUAUUGGGCCUAAAACGUCCGUAGCCGGUCUAGUAAAUGCCUGGGUAAAUCGUGAGGCUUAACCUUACGAAUUCCGGGUAGACUGCUAGACUUGAGACCGGGAGAGGCUAGAGGUACUCCUGGGGUAGAGGUGAAAUUCUGUAAUCCUAGGGGGACCACCAGUGGCGAAGGCGUCUAGCUAGAACGGGUCUGACGGUGAGGGACGAAGCCCUGGGGCGCAAACCGGAUUAGAUA